rnacentral:sRNA from 1 species
CUUUAGCCCCGAUAGGAGUGGAAAUCCUCGUAGCUUUUGCGAAGAGAUUGUAACGGAUAGCGGGAACCCAU